UGAGUUGUACAACUGACCAGGUAUCCCAUUUUCUCUGGGAGAAAGAUACAAUGUGGUUAUAGCUAUAUGGUUCCCCUGCAUCAUACGAAAGUGCACUGGGCCUGCAACUGUAUCCUCAGUGAGCGUGUGCAGGCCUUCCUGUUACCCUCUAUCACCACUGCCAUUAAAACAAGUGAGUGUUCAUGUUAUGGGACACAGGCCUCCUGAAGGUAUCACAGACUACUGAAGUGCACUGGGCCUGCAACUGUAUCCUCAGUGAGCGUGUGCAGGCCUUCCUGUUACCCUCUAUCACCACUGCCAUUAAAACAAGUGAGUGUUCAUGUUAUGGGACACAGGCCUCCUGAAGGUAUCACACACUACUGAAGUGCACUGGGCCUGCAACUGUAUCCUCAGUGAGCGUGUGCAGGCCUUCCUGUUACCCUCUAUCACCACUGCCAUGAAAACAAGUGAGUGUUCAUGUUAUGGGACACAGGCCUCCUGAAGGUAUCACAGACUACUGAAGUGCACUGGGCCUGCAACUGUAUCCUCAGUGAGCGUGUGCAGGCCUUCCUGUUACCCUCUAUCACCACUGCCAUGAAAACAAGUGAGUGUUCAUGUUAUGGGACACAGGCCUCCUGAAGGUAUCACAGACUACUGAAGUGCACUGGGCCUGCAACUGUAUCCUCAGUGAGCGUGUGCAGGCCUUCCUGUUACCCUCUAUCACCACUGCCAUGAAAACAAGUGAGUGUUCAUGUUCUGGGACACAGGCCUCCUGAAGGUAUCACAGACUACUGAAGUGCACUGGGCCUGCAACUGUAUCCUCAGUGAGCGUGUGCAGGCCUUCCUGUUACCCUCUAUCACCACUGCCAAGUCUGAAUAUCUACACAUAUCAAUGUAAAUGUUUAGUCUGAAUAUCUACACAUAUCAAUGUAAAUGUUUAGUCUGAAUAUCUACACAUAUCAAUAUAAACAUCAGCAUGUAAACUAGGACCUAUAGUUGUAUUGGAUGUGUU